UUUCUGCUUCAGUAGUAAAUUCAAUAAGGUUGGAUUACUACACAGAAGUUCAGCAUGGUCACUCCGUAGAGGUGACAUGCUAAUUCACAAGGCUUUCCAUACACCU
rnacentral:snRNA from 1 species